rnacentral:rRNA from 1 species
GCGUUUAGUAUUUGGUCGUAGACCCGAAACCAGGUGAUCUACCCUUGGUCAGGUUGAAGUUCAGGUAACACUGAAUGGAGGACCGAACCGACUUACGUUGAAAAGUGAGCGGAUGAACUGAGGGUAGCGGAGAAAUUCCAAUCGAACCUGGAGAUAGCUGGUUCUCUCCGAAAUAGCUUUAGGGCUAGCCUCAAGUGAUGAUUAUUGGAGGUAGAGCACUGUUUGGACGAGGGGCCCCUCUCGGGUUACCGAAUU